ensembl:lincRNA
AGGAGUUAACCUGGAUAAUAAAGUGAUGUAAGGCUUAAUAAACCUUGUUUCUGGCCAAAUCCCAGGGAGAAUGAAUUUCAUGUGACUCAGCUCUAUGGAAUCAAUAAUAACUGACUCCUGUUUGGCACUAGUUGAAUAUGAGGUGCAGACAAGUACUCGUUCAGGCCCAAGAAAUCUUCCAGUCAUGCCGUUGACUCUUUAUUGUGGAUAUUACAAAUGUUUUGACACAUCUUCAGGGUCAGUUUACAAAGAAAACGGAUUCUGCAUCCUCCUCAAAGGUAAUGAAAUCACUGGGGAAAAUCCUGCAAAUUUAGAGAACUGAAGAAAAUGUACCUCAACUGUCUGCAAUCUAAGGGACAAAACAGAAUAAGGAAGGAAUAAAAUGGCAGAAUGAACUAUUAAAUAAGUACAACACUGAAGAUACAGUCAGAGUUCAUGAGAUUCCAG